rnacentral:misc_RNA from 1 species
GAGGUGCCUGGAGCCACAAG